rnacentral:rRNA from 1 species
UGGGGAAUAUUGGACAAUGGACCAAGAGUCUGAUCCAGCAAUUCUGUGUGCACGAUGACGUUUUUCGGAAUGUAAAGUGCUUUCAGUUGGGAAGAAAAAAAUGACGGUACCAACAGAAGAAGUGACGGCUAAAUACGUGCCAGCAGCCGCGGUAAUACGUAUGUCACGAGCGUUAUCCGGAUUUAUUGGGCGUAAAGCGCGUCUAGGUGGUUAUGUAAGUCUGAUGUGAAAAUGCAGGGCUCAACUCUGUAUUGCGUUGGAAACUGUGUAACUAGAGUACUGGAGAGGUAAGCGGAACUACAAGUGUAGAGGUGAAAUUCGUAGAUAUUUGUAGGAAUGCCGAUGGGGAAGCCAGCUUACUGGACAGAUACUGGCGCUGAAGCGCGAAAGCGUGGGUAGCAAACAGGAUUAGAUACCCUGGUAGUCCACGCCGUAAACGAUGAUUACUAGGUGUUGGGGGUCGAACCUCAGCGCCCAAGCAAACGCGAUAAGUAAUCCGCCUGGGGAGUACGUACGCAAGUAUG